rnacentral:rRNA from 1 species
UACAGAGGGGGCAAGCGUUGUUCGGAAUUACUGGGCGUAAAGGGCGCGUAGGCGGCCUGUUAAGUCGAACGUGAAAUCCCCGGGCUCAACCCGGGAACUGCGUCCGAAACUGGCAGGCUCGAAUUCGGGAGAGGGAUGCGGAAUUCCAGGUGCAGCGGUGAAAUGCGUAGAUAUCUGGAGGAACAUCGGUGGCGAAGGCGGCAUCCUGGACCGAUAUUGACGCUGAGGCGCGAAAGCCAGGGGAGCAAACGGG